rnacentral:rRNA from 1 species
GUCGAACGAGAGAAGAGAAGCUUGCUUUUCUGAUCUAGUGGCGGACGGCUGUGUAACACGUGAGCAAUCUGCCUUUCAGAGGGGGAUACCGAUUGGAAACGAUCGUUAAUACCGCAUAACAUAAUUGAACCGCAUGAUUUGAUUAUCAAAGAUUUAUCGCUGAAAGAUGAGCUCGCGUCUGAUUAGCUAGUUGGUAAGGUAACGGCUUACCAAGGCGACGAUCAGUAGCCGGACUGAGAGGUUGAUCGGCCACAUUGGGACUGAGACACGGCCCAGACUCCUACGGGAGGCAGCAGUGGGGAAUAUUGCACAAUGGAGGAAACUCUGAUGCAGCGAUGCCGCGUGAGGGAAGAAGGUUUUAGGAUUGUAAACCUCUGUCUUCAGGGACGAAAAAAGACGGUACCUGAGGAGGAAGCUCCGGCUAACUACGUGCCAGCAGCCGCGGUAAUACGUAGGGAGCGAGCGUUGUCCGGAAUUACUGGGUGUAAAGGGAGCGUAGGCGGGAUCGCAAGUCAGAUGUGAAAACUAUGGGCUUAACCCAUAAACUGCAUUUGAAACUGUGGUUCUUGAGUGAAGUAGAGGUAAGCGGAAUUCCUAGUGUAGCGGUGAAAUGCGUAGAUAUUAGGAGGAACAUCAGUGGCGAAGGCGGCUUACUGGGCUUUAACUGACGCUGAGGCUCGAAAGCGUGNGGAGCAAACAGGAUUAGAUACCCUGGNAGUCCA